AUGUGGUAUUGGAUAUUCUGUGAAUACUUUGCAAACAACUGUAGAUGCAAAGGUAUAUACAGUAGGAAGUUGCAUCAACUCAAAAUGGAACUACAUACCGUCGGCACUAUUAAGAAUUACGUACUACAACAGUCUAACAGAAUAUUUCUGCACCAAGCCAACAGUAUAUUUCUCAAGAAACAUAAGAGGAUAGAUUCACAUUUCAGGCUGCCUACUGCCUACGUGCCAUGGACAGAAGCUUGUUUGAAUGUGACUAACAAGCACACACAAGCACAAUUAAAACGAAAUAAUUGGGAUAUCUGA
rnacentral:rRNA from 1 species